rnacentral:rRNA from 1 species
AUUGAACGCUGGCGGCAGGCCUAACACAUGCAAGUCGAGCGGGAACUUCGGUUCUAGCGGCGGACGGGUGAGUAAUGCGUAGGAAGCUACCCGACAGAGGGGGAUACCAGCUGGAAACGACUGUUAAUACCGCAUAAUGUCUACGGACCAAAGUGUGGGACCUUCGGGCCACAUGCUGUCGGAUGCGCCUACGUGGGAUUAGCUAGCUGGUGAGGUAAUGGCUCACCAAGGCGACGAUCCCUAGCUGGUUUGAGAGGAUGAUCAGCCACACUGGAACGGAGGCACGGUCCAGAGUCCUACAGGAGGCAGCAGUGGGGAAUAUUGGACGAGGGGCGCAAGCCUGAGCCAGCCAUGCCGCGUGUGUGAAGAAGGCCUUCGGGUUGUAAAGCACUUUCAGUAGGGGGGAAGGGGUUGUAGUUAAUAGCUGCAACUUUUGACGUUACCUACAGAAGAAGCACCGGCUAACUCUGUGCCAGCAGCCGCGGUAAGAC